UCUUUUAGCGCGAAUAUUUUGGCCCAAGCCCGCGAACGCUCAGAUCUAGAUAAGGUGUACCACGCACGCAGCCAAAUCCCUAAUUCCCCUUCUCCUUCUCCUUCGAUUCCCCACACCCGCCGCCGCCGGGCUCUCCACCGCGCCUCCGCGCUCCACCACGGCGUUGGCCUCUCCCUCGCGCCCCCGCGUCUCUACUUCACGCUGUCGACCUCUCCACCGCGCCGGCCACCUCUCCACCUACUCCAGAGGAGCGUUGCCCUGCGGAAUGGCGUGACGGCCGUGGCGGCGCACGUCCCGGAGGUGCUGCUGCUCGUGGUGUCCAAUCCCGUCGACGACCUCACCUACCUGGCCUGAAAGCUUUCAAGCUUCCCGGCGAGCAGCGUCGGCGGCUCCGGCACCAACCUCCACUCCUCCAGGUUCCGGUUCCUCGUCAACACCCAGGACGUGUAGGUAACUAACUGGAUCCUGAAUCCUGAUCAAGACUUGUGCCCUCACUCGAUAUUCUAGGAUGAUGCAUGGCUGGACAUAGAAAAUGGACUGCUUAAAAAUUAUGUGUGAUUAGUAACUAAAUGUAUAUAGAAAAUGGUUGGGACAACUCUGCUGGAAUAUAAAUGUAGGGCAUCAUUUACUUAUAGAACAAUUAUGUGGUAGUGUUGGUCUUGCUGUCAAUAUUUAUACAGGACAAAAGCAGAACUUCGAUCCAGUAAGUAAAACGCGUAAUUGCUAUAUGUGUACAAUUGGUUCCAUGCCGGAUCCAUGUAAAAGAACACCUAACAGAUCAAUUGAGAAAGUAUCAUUGUUUCCUCGCUUAUUUACUGAAACUGAAUCUCUUCCAGUGCAGUUAGGGCAACAAUUUAAUUCUGAUAAUCAUUUUCAGUUUGAGAAGUUUCUGUUUUUAAAUGCUUCUUUUAAAGGACCAUGUUCAAAUGACUAACCUGUGUUUUGUGCCCAGGCUAUUUAACUUGUUUCUUGAUUAAGGUGUUGAUGGGCUGUAACUAUUUGCCACUCUGAAAAUAUAACACUUUUGUGCCCAGGCUAUUUAACUUGUUUCUUGAUUAAGGUGUUGAUGGGCUGUAACUAUUUGCCACUCUGAAGAUAUAAAGUGUUAUUUCUUCAGGUAUCGUAUCACUGAGGCACCCUCCCACGCACCUGCAAGCAUGAAUGAAGGACGUGUUUUGAGGUCUAGUGUAACACAAAAUCAUGAUCAUGUAGAUCACGCGCAUCAGCCUUCCAAAGAAGCAAACAUAAGGACUGGACUCACAAUGAACCAUGAAGCCGGCGAUCUGUGUCAACUGGAUGCUUUAGCUUUCAUUUUGUACAACGAUGUCUCAUAUUUGCGUCUUUUUGCUGUCAUUCUGUAAACCUGAUGUAUGGUGCCUUGUCUUGGUGCUUAGAACAGACUGAAGUGUAUGUAUGUGACAAUUAGUUAAUGGAAUAAAAGUGGUUUGGUGCA